AUUGAACGCUGGCGGCCGGCCUAACACAUGCAAGUCGAACGAGUGGCGGACGGGUGAGUAAUGUCUGGGAAACUGCCUGCUUGAGGGGGCUAACUACUGGAAACGGUAGCUAAUACCGCAUACCAUCGGAUGUGCCCAGAUUGGAUUAGCUAGUAGGUGGGGUAAAGGCUCACCUCGGAGACGAUCACUUGCUGGUCUGAGAGGCUGACCGUCCACAAUGGAACUGAGACACGGUCCAGACUCCUACGGGAGGCAGGAGUGGGGAAUAUUGCACAAUGGGCGCAAGCCUGAUGCAGCCAUGCCGCGGGUAUGAAGAAGGCCUUCGGGUUGUAAAGUACUUGCAGCGGGGAGGCGUUACCCGCAGAAGAAGCACCGGCUAACUCCGUGCCAGCAGCCGCGGUAAUAC
rnacentral:rRNA from 1 species